rnacentral:lncRNA from 1 species
AGGGGAGUAAAAUGAACUCAAUGCGAUCAAUUGUGAUCCAUUCUUAGUAUACAUCCGUUACGGUCUGUUUGUCGCUUCUGGCGCCUUUAUCGGAGCUUUUUUUUCCCUUUCUAAUUUUGAAUGCAACAGUUUGUUGGAAGCAUAGCUAGAACCAGUUAAAAAAGAAUUAGUACAGAUUCCUCUAAAUCGUGUAGAGUCGUGGACAGUGGUAGCAGUUCAUGACAACGCAAAUGCUGCACAAGGACACAAACACAAGAAUUAAAAAGAAAAAGAAGUCACUGCUGCUCCGAUGUGCAACGAAUGCUGCCAAGCAAUCCGAUGAGCCUUUCC